AUAUAUAACUAUAGGGUGUAGAAAACAGGGCUUCCUAUCUACUUAGCUGUACUUAAGCUACACGCUAGCUGGUUAGUAGUUGGGUGGGUGACCACCAGCAAAUCCUGGCUGUUAUAUAUU
rnacentral:rRNA from 2 species